AUGGGUUUUCAGAAAACGUUCUCCAAAUCUGACAUAAUCGGAGGCAGUCAGAGAUCUCAGUCAAAGCUGACCCUGCCAGCACUCUCUCCAGAACAGGUCAAGGCCAAGGGCACUGCCACUGUAAUGUGCUUUGUCAAUCAAUUCUAUCCCGCUAAGUUGGAGGUGCAGUGGAGGAAGGAUGGUGCAAUCGUUUUGAACGGGGUUCAGGCGACCAACUACAUGCAAGUUUUGGACAGAACCAGAAGCCUGCUGACAUUUUCUGAUUUCAACUGGGAGCCCAAUGCUCGCUUCUCCAGUGACGUCGCCCACGCGAACUUCUCCUCUUCCCUCUGCAAGAAAAUCAGGAGAUCAGAAUGUUUGUAG